rnacentral:rRNA from 1 species
UACGGAGGGGGCUAGCGUUGUUCGGAAUUACUGGGCGUAAAAGCGCACGUAGGCGGCUUUGUAAGUUAGAGGUGAAAGCCCAGGGCUUAACCCUGGAAUUGCCUUUAAGACUGCAUCGCUAGAAUCGUGGAGAGGUGAGUGGAAUUCCGAGUGUAGAGGUGAAAUUCGUAGAUAUUCGCAAGAACACCAGUGGCGAAGGCGGCUUACUGGUCCGUUCUGACGCUGAGGCGGCGAAAGCGUG